rnacentral:rRNA from 1 species
UGUCUCAAAGAUUAAGCCAUGCAUGUCUAAGUAUAAGCAAUCUAUACUGUGAAACUGCGAAUGGCUCAUUAAAUCAGUUAUCGUUUAUUUGAUAGUACCUUACUACUUGGAUAACCGUGGUAAUUCUAGAGCUAAUACAUGCUAAAAACCUCGACUUCGGAAGGGGUGUAUUUAUUAGAUAAAAAACCAAUGCCCUUCGGGGCUCCUUGGUGAUUCAUAAUAACUUAACGAAUCGCAUGGCCUUGCGCCGGCGAUGGUUCAUUCAAAUUUCUGCCCUAUCAACUUUCGAUGGUAGGAUAGUGGCCUACCAUGGUUUCAACGGGUAACGGGGAAUUAGGGUUCUAUUCCGGAGAGGGAGCCUGAGAAACGGCUACCACAUCCAAGGAAGGCAGCAGGCGCGCAAAUUACCCAAUCCCGACACGGGGAGGUAGUGACAAUAAAUACUGAUACAGGGCUCUUUUGGGUCUUGUAAUUGGAAUGAGUACAAUUUAAAUCCCUUAACGAGGAACAAUUGGAGGGCAAGUCUGGUGCCAGCAGCCGCGGUAAUUCCAGCUCCAAUAGCGUAUAUUAAAGUUGUUGCAGUUAAAAAGCUCGUAGUUGAACCUUGGGCCUGGCUGGCCGGUCCGCCUCACCGCGUGCACUGGUCCGGCCGGGCCUUUCCUUCUGGGGAGCCGCAUGCCCUUCACUGGGUGUGUCGGGGAACCAGGACUUUUACUUUGAAAAAAUUAG